rnacentral:rRNA from 1 species
AACGCGAAGAACCUUACCAGGGUUUGACAUCCUGAGACCGCCCUCUAAUAGGGGUUUUCCCGCAAGGGACUCAGAGACAGGUGCUGCAUGGCUGUCGUCAGCUCGUGUCGUGAGAUGUUGGGUUAAGUCCCGCAACGAGCGCAACCCUCGCCUUUAGUUGCCAUCAUUAAGUUGGGCACUCUAGAGGGACCGCCGGCGACAAGCCGGAGGAAGGUGGGGAUGACGUCAAGUCCUCAUGGCCCUUACACCCUGGGCUACACACGUGCUACAAUGGCGGUGACAAUGGGCAGCUAACUCGCGAGAGCAAGCUAAUCCCAAAAAACCGUCCCAGUUCAGAUUGUACUCUGCAACUCGAGUACAUGAAGGUGGAAUCGCUAGUAAUCGCAGAACAGCAGGCUGCGGUGAAUACGUUCCCGGGCCUUGUA